rnacentral:tRNA from 1 species
GGUAUAGCUCAGUUGGUAGAGUCAGUGCUUUUCUUGCAAGCCCAAGACCUGGGUUCAAUCCCCAGCACCA